rnacentral:lncRNA from 1 species
UCUAACCCUAAAAGCUUUGGGUUUGACUGAAGCCUCCCCCCCUUACACACACACACACACAGACACACACAGUGAAAGAGCCCUGAGCACGCGCUCACGUGGGUUCUCUGACCCCAGCACCAGAAGAGUUAACUCAUCCUCUGCAGAAGGGACAGAAAGUUGUCCAUACAGGAAGCUGUUCUCCAGUCCCAAAAGCCUCUGGGGAGGGGGGGAUGGGAGACACUUUUUUUUUUCAGCCUGUUUCUCAGGCUCCUCACCCUCCCUAGGGAUCCAGCUACAUGCCAGAGACUGACCCUUGACCUGGGCCCUUCCACUCCACCUCCCCAGCCGGAUAGACUCUGAUUCCACUCAGGGCCCCCAGGGUACUGAGAGAAUGGGACUCCCCCACUUCCUCGCUUCCUCGCCUCCCUUUCUCCCCCACCACCCCAACUAUUCCCCCAAUCUGGUUUAUUCACCCCCACCCCCCAUGGUGCCUCACUCCUCUCCUGUGCCACAGACAUGGAUCCUCCUCCGCCCUGGAUCCCCAGUCCUCGCGUCCCAACCCCCGCCUUCAUAAUCUUCUAAAAAUAAAAGCCAGUGAUUCAAGUUGGCAACUCCCGGAAACACAUACUCCAGCCCAGGCAUCCGCCUGGUGGGGGACAAGGAAGGACCCACAAACAGAGAAAUACUCAGACGAAACAGCUCAGAAGUACCACCAGGUGGUCAUGGGAAAAAGCCUGAAAAGACACUCCUCCCAGGCCGUCCAGACCAGUAGCAGAAAGACCGGACCACAUCACACUUUACUUGAGCCAGAUUCUGUCCUGUACUGAGCUCUUCAGCUUUCUGGACUGGAAUUGAUUUAAGUUCGUAGUUACAGUACAUUUGGGGACCUAGCAAUUAAUUAGAAGAAAAAAAAUGGCUAGUAUCUUUCAACUACUUCCUGUGUCCCACACCUGGGUUAAAAUGGUACAUGAUUGUCAUUAUAUGUGGAUAAUCCUGUUGUGAACUCAUUUUUAUCAUUCCUCACUUAUAGGUG